CAAGUUUGUUUCAUAAGUAAACGUGUGCCAUGGUGGUUUGCUGCACCUAUCAACCAAUCACCUAGGUAUUAAGCCCCGCAUACCUUAGCUAUAUUUUUUUAACACAAGUAAAUUCUGCUUUCUAUUAUAUUAAUAAGUUUGUUUUAAUGUAAAAAGAGAAGUUUUUAAUGAUUGGCCAAUUCUAUGACUUUCAUUCUCCCUUCCAGAUCCCUGAGGAAAUGGAUUCUUGAGGAGUCCCUUUGCCUUCUCCUUUGUCUGUAUGUCCCCUGCCCCAUGACAGGUACAUUCUCCAGUCAGGGAUGCCCAGGCCAGCCCAGCAUACUGGAGGCAGGUUCACCUCCAACUGAGAACCACGGCUGGGGCCACAGGACCCUGGGCAAGUUUGCAAAUCCAUGAAAGGUGCACAGAGAGAUUCAAGGUCGAGGCCAGGUGCAGUGGCUCACACCUGUAAUCCCAGCACUUUGGGAGGCCGAGGCAGGUGGAUCACCUGAGGUCAGGCAAUCGAGACCAGCCUGGCCAACAUGGUGAAACCUCAUCUCUACUAAGUAUACAAAAAUUAGCCAGAUAUGCUGGCACACACCUGUAGUUCCACCUAUUUGGGAGGCUGAGGCACAAGAAUCUCUUAACCCCGGGAGGCAGAGGUUGCAGUGAGCCAAGAUCUCGCUACUGCACACCAGCCUGGGCAUCUGGACUACAGAGUGAGACUCUGUCUCAAAAAAAAAAAAAAAAAAAAAGAUUCAAGGUUGGACAUUGCCUCUGCCCCCAAACUUUGAAAUCUUCUAAGAACUCUAGCCAGCCAGGUGACUGCAGUGUUUGGGGGAAACAGUAGCAUAAACCCAUUCUGAUGAAGGGCUUUUGAGCUUGGUGGAGACCAGGCCUCCCUCCAUCAGCAGCAGCCUCGAGUGAUAAUGACAGCUACUGUUUCUAUAUCUGCACUGCUUCCAAUGCCAUCAGCCUCAUGGCUGAUCCUCACAAAUGGGGUUCCUGCUCCCAAAAACAGGCAAGGAAUGGGAGGUCAGAAUUUAAGGAAUUGGCCCCAUCUCACUCACCAGUAAGUGGGGAAACUGGUGUUCAAACCAAGUCUGUGUCCGUCCCAGCUAGGUCCAGGCCACAUUGUCCCCAACUCCAGCACAGCCCCCUGAAAUGGCUCUGAUUCAUUUCCACUCCCAACCCGCUCAGGGCCCAGAAGAAAGGUAGUGCUUUCUCUUGGGGUCUUCCCCAAGCGUGAGCAGACCAUUUUAGAGCAAAAGCCUCCACGUCUGCAUAAGCCUGGCUCUCAGAUUUUUUCUGGCCUGAUUUUCACUAAUUCUGUUGGUGAUGAGCUGCCUAAUAAAAUUAUGCUAAGUUAUGUGCAUAAAGAGUAGCAUCUUAAACUCUAAUUAUUGGCCACAUCUUUGAAGAAUUCCUGUGCAAUUUCCAGGGUAAUCAACUCACCUCUUUCUUUCGGCCUGAUUAGCUGUUUGGGCCAAUUUAAGCCCCCACCCCCAGCCCCACUCGAAUCAACGGGGUUCUGGAUGUCAUUAGCUACUCCAAUUGCCUUUUUAAAAAUCUGUUUCAUAUAAAAGGACAAAUGAGAAUGAAUAUUUGGCCAUCUUUAAGACACUAACUACAUUCUUUUCCACAGCCUGUUCUCGUUUAUUCUUUCUUUCUUCCGGAGGAAUUUGAACACAGCCUGGGCUCCCGCAGUUCAUGACUGCAAAAGGCUUCGCCUUCGAAAUCUGACCCAAGUGGGCAUAUUCGGGAAAUGUGGCAGCUUCGAAGAACAUGAGCCAGUUAAGUUUUCUCUACCUAUUCUUCCUCCGCACUCACCUCCCAGUUCUAGGCAGCUGGUUUAUGCAGCCUGCUUUCCAGGACUGUCGAAGGAAAAGGCACCUCUGCCAAAAGCACCCCAGGCUACAGGGCUGAACAGAGACCCAUCGUAUCAUUCGCUGGAAAAGCAAGAGGAAACUUCAUCCAAGGACUGGCUUCUUCUCUCCUUUAUUUACUAGUGUGGUUAUGUCAAUAAAGUCAUGCAGAACCACUGGGCAUGGGAGUGGGUUGGUUCCAAUGGAAAGGGUUGCACCUGAGCCUCCUCGGACAUAGACGCAGAAAUGAGAACAGGUGGGAAAGGGUCGGUGAGGCGGGGUAGAAGAGAAGGAGUGAAAGGGGCCCUCGAACAUGGUUCAGUGUAGAGGGCUAACUUUAAUAAUGCUUGCUCGUUCUGCAACGGACUCUUUAGUCCGAAUGCCAAGGUCUGCAGGCCCUCCCUAUCUCCUACCCAUCCCCCAACACUUUUUCCAUUCCUUCUGGAC
rnacentral:lncRNA from 10 species